rnacentral:tRNA from 1 species
GCUUUCGUGUUGCAAUGGUUAGCACACUCGGCGGGUAUUCGAGAGAACCGUGGUUCAAAUCCCGGCGAGAGCA